UACGGACGGUGCAAGCGUUAUCCAGAUUUACUGGGGUUAAAGGGCGCGUAGGCGGGCAGGUAAGUCAGUGGUGAAAUCUUCGAGCUUAACUCGGAAACUGCCAUUGAUACUAUCUAUCUUGAAUAUUGUGGAGGUAAGCGGAAUAUGUCAUGUAGCGGUGAAAUGCUUAGAGAUGACAUAGAACACCUAUUGCGAAGGCAGCUUACUACGCAUAUAUUGACGCUGAGGCUCGAAAGCGUGGGGAUCAAACAGG
rnacentral:rRNA from 1 species